rnacentral:misc_RNA from 1 species
AAACAAUAACAAAAUCAGCUGCAAAACAGAGUUUGUGCCACGCAAAAAAAAGGAAAUAACAAAUUGAUUGUUGAAAGGACGUCCAGGAAUAUUUUUGGCCAGACAGAGAGAGCUACGUUCGCACAAGGUACAGGAGCAAACAGGCAGCAGACAUGUCUUGGCUGAACAACAGCCUCAACUCCAUCAAGGGCCAGCUGACGAAUCUGGCCCAGGAAGUGCUGGCCGACACUGCCGGACCAGGCGACGAGGACUACCGCGGCGCGGAUACUGAUACAAAGACGGCCUUGGACCUGCUGGCGGAGUCGCAACACCAAAAGGAACAGCUGGACCAGCUCUGUGGGGACAAGGAUCGCGAGAUUGCUGCACUUCGGAGGCAAAUUACAAAACUGAAUAGCCAACAAAUUGGCGACGGAUUCGUCACACCAUCAUCAUCUGUAGCAGGAGCCGCCACAACAGCCGCAGAGCCUCUGAAACAGCCGCAGCGGAAGGCCGCUGAAGACCAGAAUGUGGAGGACAGCUGGGAGUGCUGGGACGACGGCGCCGACGGAUCCGAGGGACAGGGAGACGCCACAGCAGCCGGAACAGCCGGGACAGAAAACUCGGGGGCGGGACUCGUGGACAUAGCCCUGGGCAACAGCGAUGUGUCCCGCCUGAACGAUCGCAUCGCGGAGCUGGAACAGCUCAACGCACAGUUGAACGCCUCGUUGGAGGAGCUGGACGCCCAGCACGAGCUGGCCAUGCGGGAUGUGCUGGGGCGCAAAGAGCAGCUGCAGCUGCAGGUGGGGGAGCUGAGGCAGCGGCAGGCGGACCGCAUGGUCGAGCACGAGAUGGCCAUUGCCCGGCAGCAGAAGCAGCUGGAGGAGCACAGCAGGGCGGAGAGUGCCCUGGCGGCGGCCAAUGAGGAGCUGCAGCAGAAGCUGGAGCAGCAGGCGCUGGAGCUGAAGCAGGGAGUGCUGGAGCUGGCCGGGAUGCAGGAGCUGCUGGAAAAGCGGGGCGCGGACAAUGGCGAGCUGAUCGAUCGCGUUCGCCUGGCCGAGGCGGAGCGGGAGAAACUGCUCAAGGAGCUGGAUGACCUCAAGCUGGCCAAGGAGAAAAAGACCUCUGAGUCGUCCUCUAACAGCUCCUCCACCUCCACCAAGCACAGUGAGGACGAGUUCAUUGUGGUGCGACAGGCGGAUGCCAUCUCCGGCUCCGGCUCCGGCUCUGGCUCCGAUCCAGACCCCGAUCCGGACCCCACGCAACCCCCGUCUAAGGAGAAGCUGCGCGACAAGCUCGUGGCCCUCGAGACGCGCAUCGCGGAGCUCAGCCUGGCCAACAGCCAGCUGCAGGACGCCCAGCUGGAGAAGGAGCUCUCCUCCAGCCUUCUGGGCGAUCAGCUGGCCGAGCUGGAGACCCGCCUGCGCAUCAGCGAGGGCGAGAAGGAGCAGCUGCAGCUGGAGCUGCAGUUCAAGCUGCAACAGCUCACCAUGCAAAACCAGGAGCUCAAGCUGAACGCCGAGGCGGAGCAGGAGACCCACACGCACGACUUGGAGCAGCAAAUGGACACCCUGCGCGCCGACAAUCGGCGACUGCGCCAGGAGCUGGACGCCAGCAUAGCCCAGGCCAAGUUCCGGCAGGCCAUUGCCGAGGAGAAGCAGGAGAUCACCGACCUGGACGACGCCGAGGCGGACGACGAGGACGAGCUGGAGAAGCUUCGGUCCCUCCUGCAGGCCCAGAUUGAGGACCGCCUCUCCACGGCAGCGCCGCAGCAGAGCCUGGAGCGGGCCUACCGCGUCCUGAGCGAGCGCUGGCAGCGCCUCGACGUCGCCGAGAAGCGGCUGCUGGAGCUGCAGGACCAGCAGCGGAUCAGCGAUCACGAGAAGAAGACCUUGGAGGCAGACAUCUCGCAGUACAUUCUUCAGUGCGACGAUCUGAUGAAGAACAACGAGGUUCUACUCAACGAACUGGACAAGUUCAAGCGCAACAAGCUGGAGACCAUCGAGGAGCACCACGAGGAAACCAUUGUUCAGCUGGAGGGCCAGCUGGAGGAGGCCAGGCGCCGCCUUGAGACGGCGCACGAAGCCCAGAAGCGGCUCCAAUUGAAGCUGGAUGCGGAGGCGUCCCAGGCGGAGAAAGAGAAGGAGCAGGAGGACGACCGAGGCCAGAAGGAACAGGAGCUGAAAGAGUGCCGGACCAGGCUCUCCCAGAAGGAGUCGCAGCUAGAAGAGAUGCAGCGGCAGGUGGAAGAGCUCCACGCUGCCCAGGAGUACCACAAGUCCCAUCUGGCGAAGCUCCACGACCAGAUCCAUGCCAAGGACGCGCAGCUGGAGGAGCAAUGCUUGCAUUUGGAGCAGCUCAAAGCGCAGAUCAAUGGCAAGGACGAGCAACUGGGAGGGAGAGACUAUGAGCAGAUCUUUGAGCUGGAGAGGCUCACAGAACAGAUCCAGGCCAAGGAAGAGCAGCUGGAGAAGCAGGCCACUGAUCUGGAGCAGCUCACAGAACAGGUCCAGGCCAAGGAAGAGCAGCUGAAGAAGCAGGCCACUGAUCUGGAGCAGCUCACAGAACAGGUCCAGGCCAAGGAAGAGCAGCUGGAGAAGCAGGCCACUGAUCUGGAGCAGCUCACAGAACAGGUCCAGGCCAGGGACGAGCAGCUGAGCACAUUUCAGCAGAGCGAGGAUAAGUUGAAGCAAAUGGUCCAGCAGACCUACGACAGCCUUAGCCAGGAGAAGAUAGAGCUGAUCCACGCGGUCCAGCAGAAGCACGCGGAGAACACCCAGUACUAUGAGGAGAUCCAGCGCCUGCAGCCUUUCGCGCAGCAGGUCGCCGAGCUGGUCCGCGAGCGCGAGACGCUGCAGGAGCAGGUGAGGAGAGUGCAGGAGCUCAAGGAGAAGUCGGAAAUGCGCAUCACGAGCCUGUUGGCGGAGCAGAGCAGCCAGGCCCAGGCGGCCCGGGAGGCCCAGGAGCAGCAGGCAAGCGUCCAACGCGAUCUGGAGCGGCUGCGUGCCCAUCUCCUCGAGGUGGAGGAGCUGCACACCCAGGAGACAGUGGACCUGCAGCGCGAGCUGGACGAGUCGCGCACCAAGCUGACGGUCCUCCAGCAGGAGGUCUCCAAGUCGAGCACCGCGUACACUUCAGCCAGCAUUCGGGCGAACCAACAGGCGGAGACGCUGCAGACCCAGCAUGCCCUGCUCCAGCAGCAGCGGGACGAGCUGCUGGCCAAACUGGGGCAGUGCGAGGACCGCGAGAUGAAGCAGCAGGCGGCACUGACCAAUCUGCAGUGCGCCCUGGAACAGUUCCAGAACGACAAGGAGCACGACAUUGAGAUGGCCACCCAGCGCAUCCGCCGCGAGAUGAAGGCCCACUUGGACAGGCAGGACCGACUGCAGGCGGAAAUGGAGGCCAUGCAGCAGCAGCUGGCGGAGGCCAAUCGGGGACUGCGGGCGGCGGCGCGCCUCUCCGACCAGCUGGAGGCGGGACAGCAGACGAUCGCCGUGCUCAGGGAUGAAGUGGAGAGCCUGAAGGAGGCGAACGACCAGCUGGAGAAGAUGCUCAACAGCAGCGAGAGCAGCCAGACGGACAAGAUCGACAAGAGCCUGAUCAAGAGCCUGGUGAUCGGCUAUGUGGUGAGCGGAAAUGCUGCUGACAAGCAGCAGGUGUUGCGCCUGAUUUCUUCUGUGCUGGAGUUCUCCACCCAGGAGUUUGACAAAGUGGGUCUAAAUAAACAGCAGACCAGCUGGCUGGGAGCCAUACUCGGCGGUGGACCAGUGUCGGGGGGCUCAGGCCCGGGCCGCGGCAAUGAGAAUUUGGUGCAGGCAUUCGUGCAGUUCCUCGAGCAGGAGUCGCAGCCACAGACGGCGGCUCAGCUGCGACCGACCCUCCUUGGCAUGACUGGUCAGGUGGACACGGCCCCCCCGCCCCCACAUCCCCAGCCACACCCACACUCACACCCACACCCACACCCAGCGCAGGCAGCAGCAGGGCAUGCUGCUUCAGCAGUGCCUGCGGGUCAGGACCACGGCUCAGCGCCGCCACUAUCUCUUCCAGCAUCGGGAAUGGGCGCGGGUGCCGUUGCCGGUGCCGGUGCAGGACAGUCAGGACAGCUAACAAUAAGCUCCAAUGAAUUUGCACCCUCACGCAACUCCAGUUCGAUAUUGAAGGAUAUUCUCAGCGACUCCUGAUUCUUGUAGAAAGCCAGACUCCAUGGCCUGCUCUCCGCCCUUGAUUUUGAAUAAUUUUAACAUAUUUUUUUCUAUAUAUUUAAAUUGUAUGCGUGAAAUCUGUAACCCAAGCAUAUACCCAUGUUUAUUUCGGCAUAUAUCUCCGUUCCCCCAACUGUGCAAUGUCUGUGUAUGUGUGGACCAUUAGCAAUUUGUAAAUAUGUAAUAUCCAAUUUGAAUAUGCCUUGGCGGCGGAAGGUAUGCCUGUGCUUGCCUCCCGCCUGCCAUGGACACGCCUUCACAGGGGCCUUGCUAAGAAGUAGCCUAGCCGCCAAUCAAUAAACGAAUCAAAAAAGAAAAAAUAAACUACAUAUAUUGGACAUUUUA